UACGGAGGGUGCAAGCGUUAAUCGGAAUUACUGGGCGUAAAGCGUGCGCAGGCGGUUUUUUAAGACAGAGGUGAAAUCCCCGGGCUCAACCUGGGAACUGCCUUUGUGACUGCAAGGCUUGAGUGCGGCAGAGGGGGAUGGAAUUCCGCGUGUAGCAGUGAAAUGCGUAGAUAUGCGGAGGAACACCGAUGGCGAAGGCAAUCCCCUGGGCCUGCACUGACGCUCAUGCACGAAAGCGUGGGGAGCAAACAGG
rnacentral:rRNA from 1 species